CUCUUUAUUGAGAUGGGGGCUCACUAUGUUGUCCAGGUUGGUCUCAAACUCUUGGGCUCAAGUGAUCCUCCCACAAAGUUCUAGGAUUUCAGGCAUGAGCCACCAUGCUUGGCGAAUAAAUUUUUUUUUUUUUUUUUUGAGAUGAAGUCUCACUCUUGUGCCCUAGGCUGGAGGGCAAUGGCGUGAUCUCGGCUCACUGCAACCUCUGCCUCUCGGGUUCAAGCAAUUCUCUUGCCUCACCCUCCCAAGUAGCUGGAAUUACAGGCGCCUGCCACCAUGCCUGGUUAAUUUUUGUAUUUUUAGUAGAGACGGGGUUUCACCAUGUCGGCCAGGCUGGUCUUGAACUCCUGACUUCAGUGAUCUGCCUGCCUCAGUCUCCCAAAGUGCUGGGAUUACAGGCAUGAGCCACCAUGCCCGGCCUCUGAUUUUUCUGUUUUAAAUGGUCCCCAAGAGUAGCUGAAGUGUUGUCUCCUGUUCCUAAGUGAAAGAAGGCUGUGAUGUGUCUUAUGGAGAAAACGUGUGUGUUGUAUAAGCUUUGCUGAGACACAAGUUAUACUGCUGUUGGUUGUGAGUUCAAUGUUAGCGAACCAACAAUAGGUACUGAAUAAAGUGUCAAUUUUUUUUUCUUUUUUUCUUUUUUUUUUUUCUGAGACGGAGUCUUGCUCUGUCGCUCAGGCUGGAGUGCAGUGGCACGAUCUCGGCUCACUGCAACCUCCGCCUCCAGGGUUCACGCCAUUCUCCUGCCUCAGCCUCCUGAGUAGCUGGGACUACAGGUGCCCGCCACCACGCCCGGCUAAUUUUUUUUGUGUGUUUUUAGUAGAGACGGGGUUUCACAGUGUUAGGCAGGAUGGUCUCGAUCUCCUGACCUCGUGUUCUGCGCGACUCGGUGUUCCAAAGUGCUGGGAUUACAGGUGUGAGCCACUGCGCCCGGCCUUGAAUAAAGUGUCUUUAAACGAAAACAUACAUAAAGGUUACUAUGUUGUGACUGGUUGACAAAAAUGUGGUGACCCAGCCGGGCGUGGUGGCGUGCACCUGUAGUCCUAGCUACUCAGGACCCAAGAAUGUAUUUCCCCUGGGAGCAACGGCUUGAUAUUCAAUAAUUCAGGGUGUGUGGUGAUUUUAUAGAAGAUAAUUACUAUAAAUUGGCCAGGCGUGUGGUUCACACCUGUAAUCUGAGCACUGUGGGAGGGUGAGGCGGGCAGAUUGCUUGAGUUCAGGAG
rnacentral:lncRNA from 10 species